UACGGAGGAUGCGAGCGUUAUCCGGAUUUAUUGGGUUUAAAGGGUGCGUAGGCGGAAUGGUAAGUCAGUGGUGAAAACCUGCCGCUUAACGGUAGGCGUGCCAUUGAUACUGAUUGGCUUGAGUCCAGUUGAGGUAGGCGGAAUGUGGUGUGUAGCGGUGAAAUGCUUAGAUAUACCACAGAACACCGAUUGCGAAGGCAGCUUACUAAGCUGACACUGACGCUGAGGCACGAAAGCGUGGGGAGCGAACAGG
rnacentral:rRNA from 1 species